rnacentral:rRNA from 1 species
GCAAGGCUAAAACUCAAAUGAAUUGACGGGGGCCCGCACAAGCGGUGGAGCAUGUGGUUUAAUUCGAUGCAACGCGAAGAACCUUACCUACCCUUGACAUCCAGAGAAUCUGUUAGAGAUAAUUGAGUGCCUUCGGGAACUCUGAGACAGGUGCUGCAUGGCUGUCGUCAGCCCGUGUUGUGAAAUGUUGGGUUAAGUCCCGUAACGAGCGCAACCCUUAUCCUUAGUUGCCAGCACGUAAUGGUGGGAACUCUAGGGAGACUGCCGGUGAUAAACCGGAGGAAGGUGGGGACGACGUCAAGUCAUCAUGGCCCUUAUGGGUAGGGCUACACACGUGCUACAAUGGCCAGUACAGAGGGCUGCAAACUUGCGAGAGUAAGCAAAUCCCAGAAAGCUGGUCUUAGUCCGGAUUGGAGUCUGCAACUCGACUCCAUGAAGUUGGAAUCGCUAGUAAUCGCGAAUCAGAACGUCGCGGUGAAUACGUUCCCGGGCCUUGUACACACCGCCCGUCACACCAUGGGAGUGGGUUGCAAAAGAAGUGGGUAGACUAACCUUCGGGAGGUCGCUCACCACUUUGUGGUUCAUGACUGGGGUGAAGUCGUAACAAGGUA